rnacentral:rRNA from 1 species
GACGAACGCUGGCGGCGUGCCUAAUACAUGCAAGUUGAACGCAACAAAGACACCAGAGCUUGCUCUACCGUUUUUGUUGAGUAGCGAACGGGUGAGUAACGCGUGGGUAACCUGCCUUAUAGCGGGGGAUAACUAUUGGAAACGAUAGCUAAUACCGCAUAACAAUAGAGAUUGCAUAAUCUUUAUUUGAAAGUGCCAACUGGUACACUAUGAGAUGGACCCGCGUUGUAUUAGCUAGUUGUAGUGUAAUGGACUACCAAGGCGAUGAUACAUAGCCGACCUGAGAGGUGAUCGGCCACAUUGGGACUGAGACACGGCCCAAACUCCUACGGGAGGCAGCAGUAGGGAAUCUUCGGGCAAUGGACGAAAGUCUGACCGAGCAGCGCCGCGUGAGUGAAGAAGGUUUCGGAUCGUAAAACUCUAGUUGUUAGAGAAGGAAUGUUGAUUAGAGUGGAAAAUUAAU